GGCAGAGGGUAAUCUAAGGACCUGCCUUCUAAAAGCAGAUCAGGUUUGACUGCAGUGCCACUUAAAGGCUUUCUUCAUAGAUAUGCAAAGCCUGUCCGGGAAAGAAGAGAAAAGCAAUGUGCACAAAUUAUCGAAGGAUGAAUCCGAUUUUUGUUUGCCACCAAACGGCCGUGGCGAGGGCACCCUGCCUUCGUGGAAGGGAGAAAGUACUCGCGGCUCUAACGGGAGCGAGUUCAGACCUUUGCUGCGUGAACAGUCAGGAUAACUGUUCGACACCUGCGCGCGCUCUCAUUAGCGACGGUGAUAAAUAUAGAUUAUUUUGCAAUUUCCAAAAUGAAGAAGCCUGGGAUGGAGACGCCAACCCUCCUGCCCCUCUGGGGGGUGGUUAUCUCCCAGGAAAGCACAGCAAGGGCCAGCGUCACGGAUGGUUUCGGAUAGGGAAGAAAAAAAAAACAAACUCCAAGAUGAAAGUAGCAAAAUGGGCCCCACACAUCUUGCUUUGCACUUUGUUCUCAUCCACUGUUUCAGUCUCAAGCCUUCCUGAAAAUGAGGCAUUGUCCCAAGAGCUAUUAUGAAAUUCCCAGAACCACGUCACGUAACGAGAACACUUACAGGUUUUGAAAGAGAGCACAGGGGCCAGGUGGCAGAGAAACCCCAGACUAUUCCAGGAAAUACAAGGAGACAUCCCUGAAAUGACUUCCCCUCUAGCCAGGAGGGGAAGGGAGGACCUCCCACCUCGCUCCCUGCACCCAGCCAAAACUAGGUCACUGACACAGCCCUGCUCACAGACAGAGCUUCUUCCAGACUGCAGGACACACGUAACGGCCCGGCCCGGCAGGGAGGGUUAGGAUGGGGGCAAUCUUGCCCCCUCUCUUAGCCRAACGUGUUUCCUGUGAGAGUGCCCAAGCGGCUCCCUGGCCCCGUUAAAGAGACAAGCAGUUCCUCCCCUGCUUCCUCCUCAGCACCAGAACGGUGCCAGCUGGCUGGCGUGAGAAAACCCGCUUCAGCCUCUCCCUGGCCCCCCCACAUCUUAUUUCCAAAGGCUUCCUGUGCCCCUUUCCCAGUACCUGAGAUAGGAGAACUGCCGUACCUGACCCCCCCCCCCVCCGUUCCCCUUCAAAAGAGGCAGGAGACGCUCAGACCGCACACACGCGCCGGCCUCAGGCCCCUUUCCCCCAAGCCCUGGGGGGACGCCACCUCCCCGGCUUUCCACCCCGGAGCCAGAACAACAUCCUCUCUCGAGGAAGCCUCCUCCCUCCGCAACCCUUUCCUGCCUUGACCUUGACACGAGCGCGGCGCGGGUGCCAGCCCGGGCGCUCGCCCACGGGGCAGGAGGCGGGCUGGGGGGGCCGCUCCUUCGGCUCCAGGGCGGCGAGGACCGGCCGAGCGGGG
rnacentral:lncRNA from 1 species